rnacentral:misc_RNA from 1 species
AAGGAGUCUAACAUCUAUGCGAGUGUUUGGGUGCCAAGCCCGAGCGCGUAAUGAAAGUGAACGGAGGUGGGAACCCGCAAGGGUGCACCAUCGUCCGAUCCUGAUGUCUUCGGAAGGAUUUGAGUAAGAGCAUGGCUGUUGGGACCCGAAUGAUGGUGAACUAUGCUUGAAUAGGGUGAAGCCAGAGGAAACUCUGGUGGAGGCUCGCAGCGGUUCUGACGUGCAAAUCGAUCGUCAAAUUUGGGCAUAGGGGCGAAAGGCUAAUCGAACUAUCUAGUAGCUGGUUCCUGC